GUGAUUAUUUAUAUGCCACUGUAGAAUAUUACUCCGAAAACACCACGUUGAUACCCACCAUAUACACCUACGAGGAGUAUCAGGAAGAGCUUCAGGAGUCGCUGGGAUCCCCCCUCCGAUGCCACCUCCCCCUCCUCAUCCUCCUCAGCCUCCUGGGUUUCCUGCUAUGACCCCCCCCUACCCGGCUCCUCCUCAGAAGACGCACACACGUGUGGCUUUGAUGAAGAAAAGAACCUCGUCACCGCCUCGGAAACGACAUCCUCCUCUCCAAAAGCCCUUCCCCGUUGCUUUUAGGAGGGCUGGGACUUUACAUCCCGAGGUUUUCCAGAGCUGGAAGGUGCCAUCCCGAGCUGGAAAAGUCCUGCAAACACCCGAGGAGCUUUGUCACGACUGGGUUUCUUUCCUUAUUUCCUAUUAUUCUCUUGUAAAUACAAACUCCCGACAAUAAAACAAUCAGCGGCCGGGCUCCGGCGUGAAGCAGGAUUGAUGCCAGCCCCCCCCCCCCCCCAAAUUGGGCUAUUUUCCACCCCGUUUUUCCAGGAAAACCUGGGCGUUUUGAGGGACCAGAUGCAGAUCUGGCCACCUUCCAUCCUGCCAGGCCACCACGUGAAAAGGGGGGCUGGUUUGGGGACAAACCCCUCCACGCUGAUGACCAUGAGGGUUGCGGUGGCCGAUGGUGUGGUUUCCUUCGCAGUCGCUUGGUCAAUUAUCAGUCCACGCAUAAAUUAUCAGUAAUUGCCAGCAGAACAGGAAAAACAAAAGCACGACACUCCUGCAGGCAACUUGGCCCAUCAAAAGGACCUUUUUAAGCCCCUAACCCCCCCCCAAAAAGCCACUCUGACCCAUACAGUCCAAUACAGCUCCCCAGGAAGAACAAAGUGCCAAAAAUGGCUUUUUUGGGGCAAGAAAUCGGAGUUUAUAAGGCUCCUCUUGGCCCAGCUGGGGGAAAAAAUGCAGUCCUACCUUCUGUGUGUCAACAGGGGUUUUCUUUGGAGGAGUUAUGGGGAAGGAGAGGGGCAGCAAACCUGCCCCAGGUGCUCCUGGGGCUCCUUCAUGGUCUUGGAGCACCCACAAGCCAAAGGAGGUUGAGUCAACCCAACGGGCAGAGCUCGGGGUGGUCCCCGGGGUGGUCCCCAGGGUCUAUUUAUCCCUAGAAGAUCACUGUGGAUUAGAUCAGCAAAUGGGAAAAAAAACCUGAAACCAAACUCCCCCAAAAGUUAUACCAUACAAGCCUUCAGAAAAACGUUAGAAUUGUGUGUUUAGUAUGAAGAUGGGCUUUAUUUAAAUAAAAAUGAAAGGUCUUGACGGUUGAGCCA
rnacentral:lncRNA from 1 species